UUGCAAACUCAGAUCUCAACAGAAACGUGACAAGGUCGUUGUCACUCAAGCACUUGUGGCCAUUGAACAAGGGGCCUCCCCUGAAAUUUGGUUAUCUAUGCUCAAGAAUUAGUCGGUAUCUGAGUUCUCUGCUCUUGCACCCCAUGGAUUUGUGGAUCCAUUGCACUGGGAUGAGAGAGACUCAAUGAUUCUUUGAUCAGCCCUUCUACAUCACUGAGGUUUCCUCAUUGCACGCGAUAGGGUGAUCAUGAUUUCCCCACUAACUCAUUUUCUGGCUGGCCUCUUUUGUAGAGUUCGCCCUAGGUCGUUUGGCAGUUACUGUCACACAGCACUGCGGUAUUCAGAGACGGGCAACUUUCCUCAUGCACAGACCAAUCUAAGACACGGGGCCCGGUGGCGAUAGGGUUACCCUACGACGGAUAAGGCUGUGACAUUAGAGGAACGACCUAAGACAGGAGCCACAGCAGAUGGACGUAACUGCAGAGGCCUAGACCAGCCUCAUUCUAGUAAAACAAAAGGGGGGAGAUGUGGAAAGCUGCAAUAACAUUCGCCACCACAAGAUGGCGCUGGCUUCCGCUGCGCCCCACGUGGAAAGCCGGGAUAGCAUUCGCCAUUACAAGAUGGCGCUGGCUUCCGCUGCGCCAGCCCGACUUCCUUUCAGGGAACUAGCUGUGUGCGCAUGUGCAAGAGUGUGUUCGUGCCAAGUCUUUGCCCACCCCGGGGCAUGCCAGUGAGAUCAUGGGUAAGCGACCAAUCAGGCGUGGACGCGCCGUGCUAGGGUUUUAUAAGCAGCACCUUUCUGGGCCCUGGGUCUCUCCUCUUCAAGAUGUAAUAAACGCUUUGCUGCAGAA
rnacentral:lncRNA from 1 species